CACUGCGACAACUAAUUGUUCCGUUAAAUUAGAAGAGACCUUCGACAAUAAUCAGUAAUUGUUAGUUUCGAAUGUGCGAUGAGAAUUCAACGUGUUCCUGAUUCCUUAUAUCUUUCACCUCUUUCCCAAUAUAUUGAGACCCACACCAGCAAGUGCAGUUGCCACCCCAAAGCUGAAACCAGGUAACUAUGCGCAGUAAAGUAUUUCUUUCUGCUUGUGGUAAUUUCACAGAACAACGUGAUUGAUUAUAUAUAUACUGUAUAUAUCCCUUGGCUACAGAAAUCUUGCUUCGUAAAAAGUUUGUUCCAGGUUGAUAAAAUAGAGGUAAAAAUGCUUUUCCGUAUACGAAUCUACACAGAAGAAAUAUUAGAGAGAAAUA